UUGGGGAAUAUUGGACAAUGGGCGAAAGCCUGAUCCAGCCAUGCCGCGUGUGUGAAGAAGGUCUUCGGAUUGUAAAGCACUUUAAGUUGGGAGGAAGGGCAGUAAGUUAAUACCUUGCUGUUUUGACGUUACCGACAGAAUAAGCACCGGCUAACUUCGUGCCAGCAGCCGCGGUAAUACGAAGGGUGCAAGCGUUAAUCGGAAUUACUGGGCGUAAAGCGCGCGUAGGUGGUUUUGUAAGUUGGAGGUGAAAUCCCCGGGCUCAACCUGGGAACUGCCUCCAAAACUGCAUGACUAGAGUACGGUAGAGGGUAGUGGAAUUUCCUGUGUAGCGGUGAAAUGCGUAGAUAUAGGAAGGAACACCAGUGGCGAAGGCGACUACCUGGACUGAUACUGACACUGAGGUGCGAAAGCGUGGGGAGCAAACAGGAUUAGAAACCCUGGUAGUCC
rnacentral:rRNA from 1 species